GGAUGCGAUCAUACCAGCACUAAAGCACCGGAUCCCAUAAGAACUCCGAAGUUAAGCGUGCUUGGGCGAGAGUAGUACUAGGAUGGUUGACCUCCUGGGAAGUCCUUGUGUUGCAUUCC
rnacentral:rRNA from 1 species